GAUGAACGCUGGCGGCGUGCCUAAUACAUGCAAGUCGAGCGAACGGACGAGAAGCUUGCUUCUCUGAUGUUAGCGGCGGAGGGGUGAGUAACACGUGGAUAACCUACCUAUAAGACUGGGAUAACUUCGGGAAACCGGAGCUAAUACCGGAUAAUAUUUUGAACCGCAUGGUUCAAAAGUGAAAGACGGUCUUGCUGUCACUUAUAGAUGGAUCCGCGCUGCAUUAGCUAGUUGGUAAGGUAACGGCUUACCAAGGCAACGAUGCAUAGCCGACCUGAGAGGGUGAUCGGCCACACUGGAACUGAGACACGGUCCAGACUCCUACGGGAGGCAGCAGUAGGGAAUCUUCCGCAAUGGGCGAAAGCCUGACGGAGCAACGCCGCGUGAGUGAUGAAGGUCUUCGGAUCGUAAAACUCUGUUAUUAGGGAAGAACAUAUGUGUAAGUAACUGUGCACAUCUUGACGGUACCUAAUCAGAAAGCCACGGCUAACUACGUG
rnacentral:rRNA from 1 species